UACGGGGGGGGCAAGCGUUGUUCGGAAUUACUGGGCGUAAAGGGCUUGUAGGUGGCCAACUAAGUCAGACGUGAAAUCCCUCGGCUUAACCGGGGAACUGCGUCUGAUACUGGAUGGCUCGAGUUUGGGAGAGGGAUGCGGAAUUCCAGGUGUAGCGGUGAAAUGCGUAGAUAUCGUGAGGAAGACCAGUGGCGAAGGCGGAUCUCUGGACAGUUCCUGACGCUGAGGCGCGAAGGCCAGGGGAGCAAACGGG
rnacentral:rRNA from 1 species